rnacentral:rRNA from 1 species
GACGAACGCUGGCGGUGUGCUUAACACAUGCAAGUGGUGCGACGAACCUGGCUUCGGCCAGGGGCAAAGCCGCGAACGGGUGAGUAACACGUGGGUAAUCUGCCCCGAUGACUGGGACAACCCGAGGAAACUCGGGCUAAUACCGGAUGUGGUGCCUGGACAUAAGUCUGGUCACUAAAGGUAGCUUCGGCUUCCGCAUUGGGAGGGGCCCGCGGCCCAUUAGCUUGUUGGUGGGGUCAAGGCCUACCAAGGCAACGAUGGGUAGCUGGUCUGAGAGGACGAUCAGCCACACUGGGACUGAGACACGGCCCAGACUCCUACGGGAGGCAGCAGUGGGGAAUCUUGCGCAAUGCGCGAAAGCGUGACGCAGCAACACCGCGUGAGGGAAGACGGCCUUAGGGUUGUAAACCUCUUUCAGAUGGGACGAAGGUUGUCCGGUGAAUAGCCGAGAUGAUUGACGGUGCCGUCAGAAGAAGCUCCGGCUAACUACGUGCCAGCAGCCGCAGUAAGAC